UACGGAGGAUGCGAGCGUUAUCCGGAUUUAUUGGGUUUAAAGGGUGCGUAGGCGGGAUGCCAAGUCAGCGGUAAAAAUGCGGUGCUCAACGCCGUCGAGCCGUUGAAAAUGGCGUUCUUGAGUGGGCGAGAAGUAUGCGGAAUGCGUGGUGUAGCGGUGAAAUGCAUAGAUAUCACGCAGAACUCCGAUUGCGAAGGCAGCAUACCGGCGCCCUACUGACGCUGAGGCACGAAAGCGUGGGUAUCGAACAGG
rnacentral:rRNA from 1 species